GUGUUUCUAGUCGGACUCUUUGGUUUAAUCUAGUCUGUUACAAUAUGGACCCACACUUUGAUCAAUGGCUUAGAAAUUUGAGAUCGGAAAGAACACCAACGGCAAAAGCGCUUUGCCAGGCCAAUAUUGAUACUGAUAGACGAAAGUUAGGGGAGCAAAUGAGAUUAGAUACCCUAAUAGUCCUAGCCGUAAAUGAUAGCUACUAGGUGCUGUGGAACUCGACCCAUGCAGUGUUGUAGCUAACACAUUUAAGUAUCCC
rnacentral:ncRNA from 1 species